UGACGGUGAUGAGAAAUUUAUCCCGAAGCUGAUCAUCUCUUGAUGAGUCAAACUUUUCGGAUCUGAUUACUGAGUU